rnacentral:rRNA from 1 species
AGAGUUUGAUCAUGGCUCAGGAUGAACGCUGGCGGCGUGCCUAAUACAUGCAAGUCGAGCGAACCAAAAAGGAGCUUGCUCCUUUACGGUUAGCGGCGGACGGGUGAGUAACACGUGGGUAACCUGCCCUCAAAACUGGGAUAACAUCGAGAAAUCGGUGCUAAUACCGGAUAAUCAAUAAGACCGCAUGGUCUUAUUAUAAAAGGUGGCUUCGGCUACUAUUUGAGGAUGGGCCCGCGGCGCAUUAGCUAGUUGGUAAGGUAACAGCUUACCAAGGCGACGAUGCGUAGCCGACCUGAGAGGGUGAUCGGCCACAUUGGGACUGAGACACGGCCCAAACUCCUACGGGAGGCAGCAGUAGGGAAUCUUCCGCAAUGGACGCAAGUCUGACGGAGCAGCGCCGCGUGAGUGAUGAAGGUUUUCGGAUCGUAAAACUCUGUUGUUAGGGAAGAACAAGUACCGUUCGAAUAGGUCGGUACCUUGACGGUACCUAACCAGAAAGCCACGGCUAACUACGUGCCAGCAGCCGCGGUAAUACGUAGGUGGCAAGCGUUAUCCGGAAUUAUUGGGCGUAAAGCGCGCGCAGGCGGUUUCUUAAGUCUGAUGUGAAAGCCCACGGCUCAACCGUGGAGGGUCAUUGGAAACUGGGGAACUUGAGUGCAGAAGAGGAGAGUGGAAUUCCAUGUGUAGCGGUGAAAUGCGUAGAGAUAUGGAGGAACACCAGUGGCGAAAGCGACUCUCUGGUCUGCAACUGACGCUGAGGCGCGAAAGUGUGGGGAGCAAACAGGAUUAGAUACCCUGGUAGUCCACGCUGUAAACGAUGAGUGCUAGGUGUCGGGGGGUCCAACCCUCGGUGCCGGCGCAAACGCAUUAAGCACUCCGCCUGGGGAGUACGGUCGCAAGACUGAAACUCAAAGGAAUUGACGGG